rnacentral:rRNA from 1 species
AUUGAACGCUGGCGGCAGGCCUAACACAUGCAAGUCGAACGGUAACAGGAAGAAGCUUGCUUCUUUGCUGACGAGUGGCGGACGGGUGAGUAAUGUCUGGGAAACUGCCUGAUGGAGGGGGAUAACUACUGGAAACGGUAGCUAAUACCGCAUAACGUCGCAAGACCAAAGAGGGGGACCUUCGGGCCUCUUGCCAUCGGAUGUGCCCAGAUGGGAUUAGCUAGUAGGUGGGGUAACGGCUCACCUAGGCGACGAUCCCUAGCUGGUCUGAUAGGAUGACCAGCCACACUGGAACUGAGACACGGUCCAGACUCCUACGGGAGGCAGCAGUGGGGAAUAUUGCACAAUGGGCGCAAGCCUGAUGCAGCCAUGCCGCGUGUAUGAAGAAGGCCUUCGGGUUGUAAAGUACUUUCAGCGGGGAGGAAGGGAGUAAAGUUAAUACCUUUGCUCAUUGACGUUACCCGCAGAAGAAGCACCGGCUAACUCCAUG